rnacentral:rRNA from 1 species
UGCGUUAUCCGGAAUGAUUGGGCGUAAAGCGUACGCAGGUGGCUGUGUAAGUCUGCUGUUAAAGAGUCUAGCUCAACUAGAUAAAGGCAGUGGAAACUACACGGCUAGAGUCGCGUUCGGGGCAGAGGGAAUUCCUGGUGUAGCGGUGAAAUGCGUAGAGAUCAGGAAGAACACCGGUGGCGAAGGCGCUCUGCUAGGCCGCAACUGACACUGAGGGAGGAAAGCUAGGGGAGCGAAUGGGAUUAGAUACCCCAGUAGUCCUAGCCGUAAACGAUGGAUACUAGGCGUGGCUUGUAUCGACCCGAGCCGUGCCGUAACUAACGCGUUAAGUAUCCCGCCUGGGGAGUACGCACGCAAAGUGUGAAACUCAAAGGAAUUGACGGGGGCCCGCACAAGCGGUGGAGUAUGUGGUUUAAUUCGAUGCAACGCGAAGAACCUUACCAAGGCUUGACAUGUCGCGAAUUCUUCUUGAAAGGGGAGAGUGCC